AGUGGGGAAUAUUGCACAAUGAGGGAAACCUUGAUGCAGCCAUGCCGCGUGUGUGAAGAAGGCCCGAGGGUUGUAAAGCACUUUCAAUUGUGAGGAAGAUUAAGUAGCUAAUAUCUGCUUAGUUUGACGUUAACUUUAGAAGAAGCACCGGCUAACUCUGUGCCAGCAGCCGCGGUAAUACAGAGGGUGCAAGCGUUAUUCGGAAUUACUGGGCGUAAAGCGCGCGUAGGCGGACUGUUAAGUCGGUUGUGAAAGCCCUGGGCUCAACCUAGGAACUGCAUCCGAUACUGGCAAUCUAGAGUUUAAGAGAGGGAAGUGGAAUUCCAGGUGUAGCAGUGAAAUGCGUAGAUAUCUGGAGGAACAUCAGUGGCGAAGGCGACUUCCUGGCUUAAAACUGACGCUGAGGUGCGAAAGCUUGGGUAGCGAACGGGAUUAGAUACCCCGGUAGUCCAAGCCGUAAACGAUGUCAACUAGCUGUUGGUCUUAUUAAAAAGAUUAGUAGCGUAGCUAACGCGAUAAGUUGACCGCCUGGGGAGUACGGUCGCAAGAUUAAAACUCAAAGGAAUUGACGGGGGCCCGCACAAGCGGUGGAGCAUGUGGUUUAAUUCGAUGCAACGCGAAGAACCUUACCAUCCCUUGACAUCCUGCGAACUUUCUAGAGAUAGAUUGGUGCCUUCGGGAACGCAGUGACAGGUGCUGCAUGGCUGUCGUCAGCUCGUGUCGUGAGAUGUUGGGUUAAGUCCCGCAACGAGCGCAACCCUUAUCAUUAGUUGCUAACAUUUAGUUGAGAACUCUAAUGAGACUGCCGGUGAUAAACCGGAGGAAGGCGGGGACGACGUCAAGUCAUCAUGGCCCUUAUGGGAUGGGCUACACACGUGCUACAAUGGGGGGUACAAAGAGCAGCCAACUGGCGACAGUGCGCGAAUCUCAUAAAACCUCUCGUAGUCCGGAUCGGAGUCUGCAACUCGACUCCGUGAAGUCGGAAUCGCUAGUAAUCGUGAAUCAGAAUGUCACGGUGAAUACGU
rnacentral:rRNA from 1 species